CCUCCUCUUGCCCCACCCUGCCAUGGCCACCAGGCUCCUCUGCUGUGUGGCCCUUUGUCUCCUGGGAGUAGAGCCCACAGAUGCUGGAGUCAUCCAGACACCUAGGCACCAGUUGACAAAGAUGGGACAAACAGUAACUCUGACAUGUGAGCCAAUUUCUACCCAUGACACCGUUUUCUGGUAUAGACAGACCUCAGUGAAGGGACUGGAGUUCCUGAUUUACUUCCGUGAUCAAGCUCCUAUGGACAAGACAGGGAUGCCAAACGACCGAUUCUCAGCUGAGAUGCCUAACGGAUCAUUCUCUACUCUGAAGAUUCAGCGCACAGAACCCGGGGAUGCAGCUGUAUACCUCUGUGCCAGCAGCUUAACCACAGCGCUGCAGAGUCACCCCCUCUCUGUGCAGAAACCCUUGCUUCCCUUUCUGGUUCCAGCCCCCAGCCCCUGUCACAUGGCUGCCAUGGUCACCCAGAAGCCAAGAUACCAGGUUGCCAGGAAGGGAAAACCAGUGACCUUGAGCUGUUCUCCGAAUCUGAAUCAUAAGUACAUGUACUGGAACCAACAGAAGCCGAGCCAAGCUCCAAAGCUGCUGUUCUCCUACUACGAUAAAGAAUUUAACAAUGAAACAGACACCUCCGACAACUUCCAACCCAGCCAGCCUAACACUUCCUUCUGUUCUCUUAGCAUCUGCUCCCCAGGCAUCCAAGGACCUUCUUAG